UUCCAGCGGGGAGAUUGAAAAAUCGAACGGCGUGAACGGAGCUCACCUCAUUUCAAUGCUGUCGGCACUCAGACGCUUGGAGUCUCCGACACUGAAACCAAGACGGCAUGGCUGUCCUGCCCCAUCCUCGAGCUCACCUCGUUUCCAUGCCCUCGGCACUCGGACGAUCGGGUUCCUCGACGCUGAAACCAAAACGGCACGGAUGAGCUGACGGCGGCAGCGCACGAUUUGGAACAAAGAUGGCCGCCGUGGAAACUUUCAAGGAUGAUGGGUUUUGCAAUCAGCCCAUAUAUGUUACGUUUUGAUUCUUAUAAAGUACUGCGUGUGUGAAUU